UACGUAGGGUGCGAGCGUUGUCCGGAAUUAUUGGGCGUAAAGAGCUCGUAGGCGGCUUGUCGCGUCGGCUGUGAAAUCCCGUGGCUCAACUGUGGGCGGGCAGCUGAUACGGGCAGGCUGGAGUUCGGUAGGGGAGACUGGAAUUCCUGGUGUAGCGGUGAAAUGCGCAGAUAUCAGGAAGAACACCCGUGGCGAAGGCGGCUCUCUGGGACGGUACUGACGCUGAGACGCGAAAGCGUGGGGAGCGAACAGG
rnacentral:rRNA from 1 species